UAGUAUUCUUUUUUUUAAAAUAUAUUUUAUUUGAUCAUUUCCAAGCAUUAUUCGUUAAAGACAUAGAUCAUUUUCUUUUCCUCUCCCCCACCCCCCAUAGCCGACGCGUAAGUCCACUGGGCAUUAGAUGUUUUCUUGAUUUGAAUCCAUUGCUUUGUUGAUAGUAUUUGCAUUAGAGUGUUCAUUUAGAGUCUAUCCUCUGUCAUGUCCCCUCAACCUCUGUAUUCAGGCAGUUGCUUUUUCUCGGUGUUUCCACUCCCAUAGUUUAUCCUUUGCUUAUGAAUGGUGUUUUUUUCUCCUGGAUCCCUGCAAGUUGUUCAGGGACAUUACACCGCCACUAAUGGAGAAGUCCAUUACGUUCGAUUAUACCACAGUGUAUUAGUCUCUGUGUACAAUGUUCUCCUGGUUCUGCUCCUCUCGCUCUGCAUCACUUCCUGGAGGUUGUUCCAGUCUCUGUGUACAAUGUUUUCCUGGUUCUGCUCCUUUCGCUCUGCAUCACUUCCUGGAGGUUGUUCCAGUCUCCAUGGAAUUCCUCUACUUUAUUAUUCCUUUUAGCACAAUAGUAUUCCAUCACCAACAUAUACCACAAUUUGUUCAGCCAUUCCCCAAUUGAUGGGCAUCCCCUCGUUUUCCAAUUUUUGGCCACCACAAAGAGCGCAGCUAUGAAUAUUCUUGUACAAGUCUUUUUCCUUAUUAUCUCUUUGGGGUACAAACCCAGCAGUGCUAUAGCUGGAUCAAAGGGCAGACAGUCCCUUAUCACCCUUUGGGCAUAGUUCCAAAUUGCCCUCCAGAAUGACUGGAUCAAUUCACAACUCCACCAGCAAUGAAUUAGUGUCCCCACUUUGCCACAUCCCCUCCAGCAUUCAUUACUUUCCAUAGCUGUCAUGUUAGCCAAUCUGCUAGGUGUGAGGUGAUACCUCAGAGUUGUUUUGAUUUGCAUCUCUCUGAUUAUAAGAGAUGUAGAGCACUUUUUCAUGUGCUUAUUAAUAGUUUUGAUUUCUUUGGCUGAGAACUGCCUGUUCAUGUCCUUUGCCCAUUUGUCAAUUGGAGAAUGGCUUGAUUUUUUGUACAAUUGAUUUAGUUCUUUGUAAAUUUGAGUAAUUAAACCUUUGUCAGAGGUUUUUAUGAAGAUUGUUCCCCAAUUUGUUGCUACCCUUCUGAUUUUGGUUACAUUAGUUUUGUUUGUACAAAAACUUUUUAAUUUGAUGUAAUCCAGAUUAUUUAUUUUGCAUUUUGUAACUCUUUCUAAUUCUUGCUUGGUUUUGAAGUCUUUCCCUUCCCAAAGGUCUGACAUGUAUACUAUUCUGUGUUCGCCUAAUUUUCUUAUAUUUUCCUUCUUUAUGUUCAAGUCAUUCACCCAUUUUGAAUUUAUCUUGGUGUAGGGUGUGAGGUGUUGAUCUAAACAUAAUCUUUCCCACACUGUCCUCCAAUUUUCCCAGCAGUUUUUAUGAAAUAGUGGAUUUUUGUCCCAAAAGCUGGGAUCUUUGGGUUUGUCAUAUUCUGUCUUGCUGAGGUUGCUUGCCCCCAGUCUAUUCCACUGAUCCUCCUUUCUUUC
ensembl:lncRNA